rnacentral:rRNA from 2 species
UGGAUCCAGACUUUGAUUCUGGCUCAGGACGAACGCUGGCGGCGUGCUUAACACAUGCAAGUCGAACGAGAAGAGAUGAGAAGCUUGCUUCUUAUUGAUUCGAGUGGCAAACGGGUGAGUAACGCGUAAGCAACCUGCCCUCUAGAUGGGGACAACAGCUGGAAACGGCUGCUAAUACCGAAUACGUUCUUUCUGUCGCAUGGCAGAGGGAAGAAAGGGAGGCUCUUUGGAGCUUUCGCUGGAGGAGGGGCUGCGUCUGAUUAGCUAGUUGGAGGGGUAACGGCCCACCAAGGCGACGAUCAGUAGCCGGUCUGAGAGGAUGAACGGCCACAUUGGGACUGAGACACGGCCAGACUCCUACGGGAGGCAGCAGUGGGGAAUCUUCCGCAAUGGACGAAAGUCUGACGGAGCAACGCCGCGUGAACGAUGACGGCCUUCGGGUUGUAAAGUUCUGUUAUACGGGACGAAUGGUACGACGGUCAAUACCCGUCGUAAGUGACGGUACCGUAAGAGAAAGCCACGGCUAACUACGUGCCAGCAGCCGCGGUAAUACGUAGGUGGCAAGCGUUGUCCGGAAUUAUUGGGCGUAAAGGGCGCGCAGGCGGCGUCGUAAGUCGGUCUUAAAAGUGCGGGGCUUAACCCCGUGAGGGGACCGAAACUGCGAUGCUAGAGUAUCGGAGAGGAAAGCGGAAUUCCUAGUGUAGCGGUGAAAUGCGUAGAUAUUAGGAGGAACACCAGUGGCGAAAGCGGCUUUCUGGACGACAACUGACGCUGAGGCGCGAAAGCCAGGGGAGCAAACGGGAUUAGAUACCCCGGUAGUCCUGGCCUUAAACGAUGGAUACUAGGUGUAGGAGGUAUCGACCCCUUCUGUGCCGGAGUUAACGCAAUAAGUAUCCCGCCUGGGGAGUACGGCCGCAAGGCUGCAACUCAAAUGAAUUGACGGA